rnacentral:ncRNA from 2 species
CGGGCCCUUGGAGGCGAUGAACCCUGCCCGUGAACUGGGCGCCUGGGGCGGGGGGAGCCAGUGGCGCAACCGGCCAAGGGAGGG